UGACAUGUCACCAUUGAUAAUAAAGAUUUACAUAAUAUAUAUUUAAUUUUCACCACAGAAUAGGUCAACCAUGACUACAAAAAAAAAAAUUUUAAUUUAAAUAAUUUACUCAUGACACAGUUGGUCACGAGGUCAGCCAUAGAGUAGUAUAGCAUAUUACAGCAUUUUUAGAAGCAUAUUUUGAGGACUUUUUGUGCACAUAAAUCCGGUCCCUACUUAUGAGUUAUGAUGAUGAUCAUUAAGCAACCAGUAAAUUGUCAUGGAAAUUGCUGCUUCUGAUGUUGUGUCCUGCUCCAGGCUUGGGAACAGUGCUCGACUUAGCAAAAUUAAAAUAAACACGUACACACAGUUUUCGCCAUCAUGAAUCGAGUAUACGACGACCAGAUCCUGACGGACUAUUUCGAUGUCGGGGAAGAGCGGGGAUACGCGAUGUCUGGACAGUGGCGUAAUUAGGAAUUUGGUUUGUCGGGGGGGGGAUAUACGUUUUUAGCAUGGACAUGAAUGGUCAUUAUCAAUACUUUGAUCAAAAUGUCAACGGUAAAAAAAUAGUUUUGGGGGGGAAUCCAUCCCCUUAAACCCCCCCCUAAUUACGCCCCUGCGAUAGACUGCACGAUGUCUAUUAUAUUGUUCCGGUGGUCAAGCAGGAGACAGACGCACAUCCUAAACGCCGUGGACGUACGUGGCGCCAACGGCGUAUCCACGGCGUGGAUAAGUAUCAAACAGGCCGGACGGCGUAUCCACGGCUUGGAUAAGUAUCAAACAGGCCGGACGACUGUUCUGCUGCUGCGGCCGCCGAUGGGAAUAACGGCCAGCAGAAUCCCGCCCCACCCCCGCCCCGGUGGUAAGUCACCCUAUACGUUCUUUGCAGGUCAACUCCGCGGAACGACGAGAUGGCGGACGACGGCGUUGCAAGCUCGCGCCUUUUGUCAACACUAGAGACCAUCGGCUGGCGGAUCCGGCAAACCGCGCCCGACCGCAUAGGGCGGCGCGUGCACGAAGUCGCGCGACUCGUAAGUCGUAACGGCGACGGGCGAGCCACGGAGCGAUAUAUUAAUUGUGCUAGGAACACGGACGUCAGCAUCGCCGGCGGACCCGCGGAAACCGUUCCAAGGUUUCAGGGUCCGGCGGUGCGCGACUCCUCAGCUGAGUGGGCGUGCCAGGACGAAAACCACGGAGAGUCCACCGAUUCACUCCGGUUUUCAACUUAUCGGCACGGCGUGAAGGAGGACACAGACGCGGCAAUGUCAGGAUUCCAGGACGAAAACCGCGUAGAGUAUCAGGAUCGCCGGCGCGGUGCGGUCCGCCGAUACUCUCGGGUUUUCGUCCAACGGUAACCCCGUCAGCCGAGUCUUACGCUUCCGGUCGCCGCCGAUUCCUCAAGCGCAAAUAUAUGGCUGUCUUAGCUAACUUUUAUUAGUUCAAAAACAUAAUUAUAGUGUUCAUAUAAUAAAUAAAUAAUAAUAAACAUAUUUAAAACCUCAGCUUUGUUAAAAUGUUAUAAGUUUAUGACAAUAUAAGGUAUGUUAUAAG